UCCAGUAGUGAUUAGCUUCAGUAAUACGUAUGUGCAUCAGGUUACACUUAUUAUUGUGUAUCGGGGAACAAAAAAUUUCUCCCAGCGACAUCUUCCAUUCAGAUAGCCUUUUUAGCAGGAGCCUGUAGUCAAUUUGGGCAUGGAAAUCGUGAACCUUUUGGCAGUAGGCCCUAGAAGGCAGAAGUUAAUUGAUGUAGGAAGACGACAACCAGCCAUGCGAGCCAGAACUCAAUUUAUCGCUCAAACACACAACCGCACACGCAGAAACGAC
rnacentral:lncRNA from 1 species